rnacentral:lncRNA from 7 species
AUUCCUACUGAAAGAUAUGCCGUUGCUAUCUGUUACUAGUUCUGUCUGAGAUUUUACCUUUUUUCCCCAUCUUUUACUACUCAGGUGUGGUUUUGCAAGAAUCCUCUGUUCUUGGAUCUUAACAGAUUGACCACUUACAUGAUAAUCAGUGCACAUUUUGCCAGGACUUUUCAACAUACAGAUGCUUAUCGAGCAUUAACAUUUCUGUUCAAGAAAUUAUCUGGAGUUUAUUGAUGUCAUCGGACAUCUAGAGAAAUUUCAGGGGAUUUCAGAGUCUGUUAUUCAUUUGACAAUUCUUUUCUGUCAUUCUGGUGGGGUCAGACUGGAGAGGUGCAGCAGGAACACAUAUGCUCAACUGAUCCUCAACUGUUGAGCAAGGCAGCUGUCCGUCAGUUCCUCCAAGGACCCAGUUUCAGCCAGUAUUGUGGUUGCUAUCUGCCUCAGCAAGACCUCAGGUAUGACUGAUACCACAGUCACCAACUGUCUGAGCAAGACCUUGGGUUCAAUGUCCAGUGUUUGUGCAAGACAACAGCCAGACUGAAGGUGUACUGGGAAGCAAACUAUCUCAACAGCUCAACCAGAAGACAAUGUCACAUCAGUGUAAUAUCUGGAUGGAAAAACAACUGUGUGCUUCACUGACAUCUCUACUGCAGCCAUAAAGGCCAGCAUGGAAGACAAAUGAGGAAAUGACACAUGAACAACACAAGAUGCCACAUGUAAUUUUUCUGGGGAAGUCUCACUAAGCCAACACAACCUUUCAGCAUUUCUGUAAAAAAAGCUAAGAAUGAAGUGCUUGAUUUUGGAUGCAGCAUGGUUUAUAGAGCCAAGACAAUAUUUCACCACGGAGCAAGCAUUUGUAUGGAAUUCAUGCCUUUGGCAUGCAUUUACAGAUGGUGUGAACAUAACUACUUGGAAGUUUACUUUGCUUCACAAAAGAAAAAAUAUUAUCCCAGCAAAUAAAAUCUACACUCAUACUGGACAUUGCAAUAAACUUAGACAAG